GAUGAAGAACGUAGCGAAAUGCGAUAAGUAGUGUGAAUUGCAGAAUUCAGUGAAUCAUCGAAUCUUUGAACGCACAUUGCGCCCCUUGGUAUUCCAUGGGGCAUGCCUGUUCGAGCGUCAUUUGUACCCUCAAGCUCUGCUUGGUGUUGGGUCCCGUAGGGGUGCGAAUCUCAACGGACCUCAAAGAUAGUGGCAGAGCCCGUACGGACCCUGGAUGCAGCGAGCUUUCUGGCACGCAUCACAGCAAUCCGCCGGCUCGGUCUUAACCGUCAAUUUUUUUUCACUGGUUGACCUCGGAUCAGGUAGGGAUACCCGCUGAACUUAAGCAUAUCAAUAAGCGGAGGA
rnacentral:misc_RNA from 1 species